CUUCUGCUUUUACAUCACAUUUAUUAGUUAUAUAGUUAAUUUAGUUAGGGUUAUUGGAUGAUUACCAUUAUAUUUUUAGAGGAUGAGAGGAGAUUAGGGUUUUAAUUUGAAAUAUCGGAAGUCUGAAAAUUUCAGAUUUUAAAUGUAAACCCCCAACAAUUACUAGUCACUACUCUUCGAUUUACAUCACGUGUAAAUUAAUUAUUAUAUAAUAAUCAAUAAGGCGAAACCAAUUAUGAAUUCAAUUGCUCUGUUUGUUUGUUUGUUAUGGUUGGUUUCUCUUCACAAUAUUUUUAUCCUUGAUUCCCAUUUGCCAAUGCUAGCCGAUGUCAGUUUGUUUCAUAGGUAUGCUUCUCCAUCUGACUAUAUACUCUUCCUGUCGGUAUACUUCUGGAUGUAACUGUGGACCCUUUCUUGUCGGUAUUCUUCUUGAUGGACCCUUCCUAUCGGUAUGCUUCUUGACGGACCCUUCCUGUCGGUAUGCUUCUUGACGGACCCUUCCUGUCGGUAUGCUUCUUGAUGGACCCUUCCUGUAGGUAUGCUUCUUGUUGGACCCCUUCCUGUCGGUAUGCUUCUCAGUGUCACUAUAGACCCUUCUUGUCGGUAUGCUUCUUGGUGUAACUCUUAACCCUUCCUGUCGGUAUGCUUCUUGAUGUAACUAUGGACCCUUCCAGUUGGUAUGCUUCUCGAUACAACCUUGGACCCUUCCAGUCGAUAUGCUUCCCGAUGCAACUAUGGACUCUUCUUGUGGUAUGCAUUACGCUGUAACUAUCGACCCUUCCUGUCGGUAUGUUUUUUGAAGAACUACCAAUUAUUGCGUGUAUUUCAUAAAACUACAAAGGUAAUAUGUCUUUCAGAAAAAUUGAGUUGCUGCAGCUGAGACUCUUUCCUAUUAAUUGAUCAGCAUCUUAAAUAAUCUCUUUAUUUUCAUAGAAAGUUUUGUUAGAAUGUUGGUUUGUAACGUUCUGUAUGGUUUCGCCACACAUUGCAAUGUAUGAAGUUUUUCUGUGAUCUCUUGCGAAGUACUCGAAGACAGGUUACUUAGAAACUUAACCUGAUCGAAAAAAUAGUCCUAUAUCUGUACAUUAUUAUAAAACAUUCCAAAAGUCCUAAUCAUAUGGUCAAUACACCAUUAAAAGCCCUCUUUCUAUAGUCGAGCUGCUCUUGGUUUCUUAUCUGUAGAUAGUUUAUGGUUCUGAUAUGCAAUAUCCUAAAGAAACUGAACAAAUUUCUUUAGCCUUACAGUUGGUGAGACAUCUGUUUCUAGAUUUAUAUAUUCUUUAUUUUUAAAUGUUUUUUAUCGGCCAUUUUUUGCAAUCCGUAUAUGCUUGGAUGUAAAAUAAUCACCCUCUUUCCUUGAUGUUGUUUACACCGUGAGCUGGUUAUCAUGCCGACUAUUAUUUUAUAUUGAAAGGAUGGUAUGUUAUCUGUGUUCAAAUUCUGUUAAAUAUGGCGUUGGAGCCUUUUGUCAGUAUGCUGUCCAAUAUAGUCAAUGGACGCUUAGAUCAAUAUGCUUUUUAAUUCCAGUGGUUAUGCUUUCCAAGGUAACUAACAACCCUUCUUGUCAGUGUGCUAUACUAUACAACUAUGGACUCUUCCUUGUUGGUAUUCUUUACGAUUCAACUAUGGACCCUUCGUUGUUGUCAUGCUUUACGUUGCAACUAUGGACCCUUCUUGUCGGUUUGCUUCUCGAUGUAAUUAUGGAACCUUCCUGUCUAUAUGACGGUGUAACUACGGACCCUGCUGGUAGCGUUUUGAAAGUCCAUAUAUGCUUUGAUGUAAAAUAAUCGACCCUCUUUCCUUGAUGUUGUAUACACAGAGCAUGUUAUCACGCUGGUAAACUACUAUUCGUUUUCUAAUCUAGGAAAGACAGAUAAUGUUAUGAUAGUAUCAAAAACAAGUAAUUUUUAGAGAUUUAGGAAUAAAUAAAAAGAUAUAAGGAGCAUGUAUAUACUAAACUGGUGAUAACCGGAUAUGGAUGAAAUCGGAUAGAUUUUUGUCCAAACGAGGAGGGAUGAAAGUGAAGAAUGCCUCUACUAAAAAUUUGUAUACAUGCAUGUUGUGGUUGAUAUAGUAGCUAUCUGGAAGAAACCAACUAUUAAAGGUUUUGAAAGCCCGAACAGUCAAUAUCCAUGUUACAACUGAUUUUCUACAACACUUUCAUUUAUGUAUUUAGACCGACUAACUAUUACUAUAUAGCAGUCACUUUCUAAUACAAACAAAGACAAUGUUUUUUUAGUUUUCAUCUAAUUUGAGAUUAUUUUGCGAAGGCUUAUAGUUUGCCGGCAUAAGUUGUUAUUUCAGUCUAGCUUUUUGUUGAGUUUGCUUCAUUCAGUUGGGUGAGGUUUAUACUAGAUUUUCAUUGAUCAGGAUUAAAAGCUUAUGCACUGUGAUGUUUUUUUGUUAAGCUGUUUAUGGCUCUGCUGAUUCAUUUGGUAACCAAACUGUCUACAACCUUUAGCUUCUUUUAUAAUCUUUCUAAACUUGUGUCACCAAUUAGAGAUGGUCGUAUUGAUUUAGAAAGUUUUAUACAUCUGGUGGAAAAGAUGCCUGUCUUUCCCAUCUACUUCCAUAUGACGAUUACAGCUGCAUCUUGUGUAAGCUUAUGUUUAUUUUUGUUAUUGCUUUAUAUUGAUGUUUGCAAGCAUUUGUUUAUAAGGGUUGAGAAUACACUGAUAAUCUCACCAUUCUGAAUUAGAUCAUAGCAUAGAUAUAUGAGAAUACACAUAUUAAUCAGUUUUUUUUAGUUGAUUGGGCCUAUCAAUGUUAUCCUUGAUUUAUCUUUUAGAUCAUCUAAGUUUUUUUUUUCUUUUCUCUGUGCAUGAGUACCUGUGUACUAGUUAAAGUUGUCUAAGACAACCUUCACCUUUUCUCUUCUUGAUCACAUUUGGGAUCUCCUAAUUCUGUACGUCUUUGCUGCAUCCGUGUAUAUCUCCUCUCCUAUCUUUCUUUGCUGGGAUGCUUCAAGAUAUGAGACCUUGUUUACAUUUUGAGCUGUUUGGUGUCAUAUGCUGCUGUGACCCAAAUGUAAGGCAUGGCUUCUAGAGUGGCUGCAUUGGUUCGAUAUCUUCCUGCUGGAAGUCCUGUCUUCUAUUGCGUAUAUUGUCUCGUAGACAAAGUUAGUAGCCUUUGCAGUGAAGUCCCUACUUAGCCUGGAUUAUGGAUCGACUUACAUGACGAGUUACAGCCACGCAAGAAACUUCUUGCCCUGGUCGAUACACAGGUAGCCCUACUAAAGUGCCCCAGUUUUCAAUGCUUAAUCAUGCUUUUACUAGAGGUGGCAAUAUCUACCCAUCUACUUCCGAGUGGGAUGAUUGGGUUAUGGCUCAUCACUAAUGGGUCAUAUCAGAAAAAAAGAAAAGAGUAGCCAAACAGGUUGAAAAUCGUGAAACUUAUAAGAUUCUCAUUCCUUCUAAUUUGAAGGAUUAGAUAUUUGUAGGAAUAAUGUAAAUUCCUUGGAAUCGUAUGUAAUGCAGUCUUUAUAAGUUUUGGACAAAAAUGCUUUAGUUAGCACAAAAAUAAGCCUGUUUUAACCCAGUGUGCUUUUGACACAUUAUUAGACCAUUUUCCACGUCUAGAUUCUACAUAGAUGUUCUCAUCCGUAAUUAUAUAUACAAAGCAAAAUGUUACUCAA